GACCGGAUGGUCUAAUGGUCAGGACGUCCCUACCGGAGUUGGGAAGGCCUAGGUUCAAUCCCUAGUCCCGCCA
rfam:Rhizopogon vesiculosus strain AM-OR11-056 contig7404, whole genome shotgun sequence.